UUAGUUUGGGGUAUCAUUUACUUUAGGGUAGAGAUAGGUUAGACUUAGUCAGGUCUAAAGUAGCAUUUAGUUUAGGGUAGCAUUUAGUUUAGGGGUAGGAACACGAGGCAACAUUACCAACAGUCUAAAGUAGCAUUUAGUUUAGGGUAGCAUUUUUUUUAUUAGAAUAAGGGCUAGAGAUAGAUUAGGCUUAGUCAGAUUUUGUUUAGAAUAAAGAGUAGAGAUACGUUAGGCUUAGUCAGGUCUAAAGUAGCAUUUAGUUAAGGGUAGCAUUUAGUUUAGACGUACGGUCUAAGGCAGCAUUUAGUUUAGGGUAGCAUUUAGUUUAGGGUAGUAUUUAGUUUAGACGUCCGGUCUAAGACAGCAUUUAGUUUAGAGUAGAGAUAGGUUAGGCUUAGUCAGGUAUGGGGCAUUUAGUUUAGGGUAGCAUUUAGUUUAGGGUAGCAUUUAGUUUAGACGUCCGAUCUAAGGCAGCAUUUAGUUUGGGGUAUCAUUUACUUUAGGGUAGAGAUAGGUUAGACUUAGUCAGGUCUAAAGUAGCAUUUAGUUUAGGGUAGCAUUUAGUUUAGGGGUAGGAACACGAGGCAACAUUACCAACAGUCUAAAGUAGCAUUUAGUUUAGGGUAGCAUUUUUUUUUAUUAGAAUAAAGAGUAGAGAUAGGUUAGGCUUAGUCAGAUCUAAAGUAGCAUUUACUUUAGGGUAGCAUUUAGUUUAGAAGUACGGUCUAAGGCAGCAUAUUAUUUAGUUUAGGGUAGCAUUUAGUUUAGGGUAGCAUUUAGUUUAGACGUCCGGUCUAAGGCAGCAUUUAGUUUAGGGUAGAGAUAGGUUAGGCUUAGUCAGAUCUAAAGUAGCAUUUACUUUAGGGUAGCAUUUAGUUUAGAAGUACGGUCUAAGGCAGCAUAUUAUUUAGUUUAGGGUAGCAUUUAGUUUAGGGUAGCAUUUAGUUUAGACGUACGGUCUAAGGCAGCAUUUAGUUUAGGGUAGCAUUUAGUUUAGACGUCCGGUCUAAGGCAGCAUUUAGUUUAGGGUAGAGAUAGGUUAGGCUUAGUCAGGUCUAAAGUAGCAUUUAGUUUACGGUAAUAUUUGGUUUAGGGGUAGGAACACGAGGCAACAUUACCAACAGUCUAAAGUAGCAUUUAGUUAAGGGUAGCAUUGUUUUUUAGAAUAAGGGCUAGAGAUAGAUUAGGCUUAGUCAGAUUUUGUUUAGAAUAAAGAGUAGAGAUAGGUUAUUCUUAGUCAGAUUUUGUUUAUAGGUUAUGCUUAGCCAGGUCUAAAGUAGCAUUUAGAUGUGGAAACGACCAUUAGAGGAAGUGGUUAGGCUAAAUGAAUGGCGAAACAAAACUCCCGUGGGGAUGUCCUCGGGUAGGUGAGAGCUUACCCUUUGCAUGGAGCGGAGUUGAAAGAGAGCCCUCACGUUAUUAUGUAACGGCCC
rnacentral:sRNA from 1 species